AGGGCACAUGGGCUCUAGAGGGAGAGAGAGACCUGGUGAGUCAGAGCUGCCCGAGAGAGACCAGAAGACUGUUGUUGUAGUCGUGCCGGUCCCAAGAUAUGAGAGAGACAAGCUCCCAGAGUGAACUGCCACGGAGGACUGCACUGGAGCAAGAGGAGAGGGCCUGCGGCAGAUCUCCUUGAUGAGGAAUGUGUGUGCAAACUGGUACUGUAGUAACAAGCAAACCCACUGGGAUGCAAUCAAUGCUAGAAGACGCUCCAGUGACAGAAUGUGUUCUAGGAUACUUCCCAACCCCACACAGCUCCACUUCUGAGACACCGCUGGAGCUCUCUGGCCACGUCACUGCCGGCUUUCCACUUAGAAGGACAGACAGAUGUUCGGUCUGGCGUCAGGUUUCGUUGCUUCAACAGUAAGCUGCAGUUCAACACAUCCA